CGAAAAUGCCACUAGAGGUUUCCGUCACUCACAUUAAAGCAGAAAACACGUCAUCCAGCAAAGGCCUUAUCACCGAGGAGAAUUAUAAAAAAGCCAUGAGAGCAGCAUAGAUGUCGUUUUUGCAGUUGAAUCCUACGGCCAGGCGGACAUCCUCUCGAAGAAGCUAGAAAUGCAGUACAGCUACAAGAAAAUGGAGGGAAAAAUAUGCUAGAAGCUUCCACCUAAGUCUCGACAAAUUCGGAAGUUUUACUGGAGAGGAAAAAAAAAAGCAUGGUCUCGUUCAGUUCCUCUGCGUCACACCGAGAGCGUACCCAUCCAUGCUGUCAACAUGCAACAUCAUGUAAGAUUUGUCACGCAUUUGAUUUGAGAAGUCAAAGCUGCAUUGUUGAAAUGCAAAUUUAAAGGUAGUGAGCAAAUUACGAAUAAUGCUAGUAUCUGUAUUUGGCAAGUGCCCAU